CAACGAAACAUCAUAUGUGCGGGUGCGCCGGCGACAGAGAUCACGGCACCAUUGCCCCUCCCAGCCGAUCUCCUGCUUGAGAUCGUGGCGCGCACCGACCUUUUCACUCUCGUCCGGUGUGCUGCCACCGGCAAGCACCUCCGCCGUGAAAUCCUAAGCACGUCAUUCCUUCGCCGCGUCACCCAACACAUGGCUCCCUCCAUCCUCGCCUACCUCCCCACCUACGACGAAGGGCCCCUAACUCUGACUCUGGUCCACCCACUGACACCCGCCGCUGCGUCUUUUUGCCAUGACCACCUCUCGCCGUUCAUGUCACGCCGCACGGCCAGCCUCCUCGAGCAAUACAGUCCAGUUGCAUUCCGCGGCGGCCUUGUCAUCCUCAGCCACUUACAUGUCAAUACACGACACAAGUACAAGCACUGUUUGGACAUGUGUGUGUACAAUCCUAUGACAGGUCAAACCACCUUCCUCUCAAAAUCGCCCUAUGUCCAUAUUAGCAUCACCACCUUCCAUGAGUACAUCCUGCUCACCACUGCGGAUGGCAUCGACUGCUCCUUCAUGCUGCUUUUCAUGGAUCGCGACUUGUGUAAGAGCAUCAAAGUACACACUGCCACAUCAUCCUCUAGUACCUGGGGGCCUCCCGUUACUUACGACAGGCACCGUGACUCCUUGUGGUGGUCAGUCCAUGACUACAGCCAACCCACAAUCCUCCACGGUGGUGUUCUCCACUGGCUAGCGGACCAUGGCAAACAAAUCCUCACCUAUGAUGUGAGGACCAGAAUGUCGGGACGGGUGAAGCUCCCACCUACCAACUGCAAUGAAAAGCAGCUACACUUGGCAACGUCGUCAGACGGGAGCAUACUGAAAUUGAUCACUAUAGAUGGGUUCAUGCUAUCCAUGUGGCUACACAUCCCCACAGUACUAGCAAGUUGUGGUGGUGCUAGUGGUUGGGCGCUGGAAGGUGUGAUCGAUGUAGAGGAUAAGCUGCGGUCGUUGUACCCAGACCUUCCUAUUGUAGCUGGCUCUGAUGUACUAGUUGAGCUUAAUGGAUCUGGAAAGAGGAACGGAGACGUGGUUGAAUUGCAGGUGCAUGAUCGAGAUUGCGUGUUUCUUGAUAUGAAGACAAAGGAGAUGCAUCGGCAAAAGUAUGGCUCCUGCUCCCCGUUGUUUGAGAUUGACUUGCCAUCUCACCUACAAACCAUGAAAGUUUUC
rnacentral:rRNA from 1 species